AGUGUCGGCUCUGCUCCACAGAGCUAUCUUAUAUCAAUAAGAGCACUUCAUCAAUGCUGAGGCAUUAUAGAGCUCGGCAUGGCAAUGAAGAAUUGGCAGAUACUCGUGAGAGUACCCCAGUUCCUAACAAGCAAGCAGUGGAUGAGGCAGUGGUCAAUAUGAUCAUCAAAGACUGUCAGCCACUCAGCUUUGUUGAAAAUGAGGGAUUCAGGGAGCUCCUGAAGCUUAUUGUACCCUCAUAUACUCUACCAAGCAGGAAGACCAUCAAGGACUUGGUGAGCCAGAGAUAUGAGGAGGAAAAGGAGAAAACCAAAAAGGACCUCCAGAGUGCCGUUGCUGUUACUUUAACAGCUGAUAUGUGGACGUCUAUGAAUAUGGAGGCAUAUCUAGCUGUUACUGGCCACUAUGUGGACAA